rnacentral:rRNA from 1 species
AACGAACGCUGGCGGCGUGCCUAACACAUGCAAGUCGAGCGAGAAAGUCCGCAAGGAUGAGUAAAGCGGCGAACGGGUGAGUAACACGUAGGUAACCUACCCUUCAGACCGGGACAACCUGUCGAAAGACGGGCUAAUACCGGAUAAGACCACGUUUUCUUCGGAAGAUGAGGUAAAAGUUGGCCUCUGUAUACACGCUAACACUGAUUGAUGGGCCUGCGCACCAUUAGCUAGUUGGUAAAGUAAUGGCUUACCAAGGCUACGAUGGUUAGCUGAUCUGAGAGGAUGAUCAGCCACACUGGAACUGAAACACGGUCCAGACUCCUACGGGAGGCAGCAGUGGGGAAUUUUGCGCAAUGGGGGAAACCCUGACGCAGCAACGCCGCGUGAGUGAUGAAGGCCUUCGGGUCGUAAAGCUCUGUCGGAGGGAACGAAACCUUCCGGGGUGAACAAUCCCGGGAUUUGACGGUACCCUCAAAGGAAGCACCGGCUAACCACGUGCCAGCCGCCGCAGUAA